GCCCGCCUAGCUCAAUCGGUAGAGCGUCAGACUCUUAUCCCUCUACAGUCCUGUAGUUUCGGCAUCUGAAGGCUGUGGGUUCGACCCCCACGGUGGGCU